CGGACGGGUGAGUAACACGUGGAUAACCUACCUAUAAGACUGGGAUAACUUCGGGAAACCGGAGCUAAUACCGGAUAAUAUAUUGAACCGCAUGGUUCAAUAGUGAAAGACGGUUUUGCUGUCACUUAUAGAUGGAUCCGCNCCGCAUUAGCUAGUUGGUAAGGUAACGGCUUACCAAGGCAACGAUGCGUAGCCGACCUGAGAGGGUGAUCGGCCACACUGGAACUGAGACACGGUCCAGACUCCUACGGGAGGCAGCAGCA
rnacentral:rRNA from 1 species